GACGAACGCUGGCGGCGUGCUUAACACAUGCAAGUCGAGCGGUAAGGCCCUUUCGGGGGUACACGAGCGGCGAACGGGUGAGUAACACGUGGGUGACCUGCCCUCAGCUCUGGGAUAAGCCUGGGAAACCGGGUCUAAUACUGGAUAUGACUCCAUGACGCAUGUUGUGGGGUGGAAAGCCUUGUGCGGCUGAGGAUGGGCCCGCGGCCUAUCAGCUUGUUGGUGGGGUGANGGCCUACCAAGGCGACGACGGGUAGCCGGCCUGAGAGGGCGACCGGCCACACUGGGACUGAGACACGGGCCCAGACUCCUACGGGAGGCAGCAGUGGGGAAUCUUGCGCAAUGGGCGAAAGCCUGACGCAGCGACGCCGCGUGAGGGAUGACGGCCU
rnacentral:rRNA from 1 species